CCUUCGAUAGCACAGUUGGUAGAGCGGGGGACUGUAGAUUUAUAAUUGUGAUCCCUAGGUCGCUGGUUCGAAUCCGGCUCGAAGGA
rnacentral:tRNA from 2 species